rnacentral:antisense_RNA from 1 species
UGGUAAAGGAUGGCGCGGGCUCAGCAGAAAGGAAAUCAAAACGCUCCCUUCCUUCCGCGGCUUCUCCUUUCACUGUGUCGGAAGAGGUCUGCGUUGCGAGGUAGGUGGUAGUGCUUGGAAGCACUCCAAGUGGAUGAAGAGCAGCUCCUGCCCCCUGCUGGCAGCCCCAGGCCCAGGGGCCUCCACCCCGCAGAGGCCUGAGCCAAGCUCGCCAUUCACCCUGGGCUGGAUCUCAGCUCCGGAAGGAGACGUCGAGAAGAGGCUGCCAAAGAGCCUGGAGGGGCCGCUUCAGAGCAGCGCCUUGAAGAGGAAGGAGAGGGAGGCUCCACAGGAAAGUCCCAGGGCCAGAAAGAAGGUCAUGAGGGCGCCGGCCACCUCCCUCUCGUGUGGCAGCACCUGCCUAGAACACCCGGGAACAGGAGCUCUUAGAAAAUGCUGGGUCUAAAUCUGGACCCAGCUCCACUGCCCUCUCCCCAUCCAGUCUGGGCUCUGACUCAACCCCUCUGUCACCAUAACUGGCCCCUUUCUUUCCGGGCUUCAGUUUCCUGGUCUGUAAAUGAGGCUGCUGGAUAAGGAUGUCUGUCAGGGCCUCUGGGUCUAACAUGAUGGGAUUC